GCCGCAGUAUUUUGACUGUGCAAAGGUAGCAUAAUCAUUAGUUUUUUAAUUGAAAGCUGGAAUGAAGGGCUGGAUGAGAAAAAAGCUGUCUCAUAUUAAUUUUCAUUUAAUUUUAUCUUUAAGUUAAAAAGCUUGGAUUUUAUAAAAAGACGAGAAGACCCUUUAGAGUUUAAUAAAUAUAGAUUUCAAUUGUAUGAGGUUUACUAUUAUUAUUAAAGUUUAAUUUAUUUUGUUGGGGUGACACAAGAAUUGAAUUAACUUCUUUUUAUGUUAACAUUGAUAAAUGAAUAAAUGAUCCUUCAGUUUGGAUUACAAGAAUAAAUUACCUUAGGGAUAACAGCGUAAUUCUUUUAGAGAGUUCAAAUCAAUAAAAGGGAUUGCGACCUCGAUGUUGGAUUAAAGUAAAAUUUAGGCGCAGAAGCUUAAGUUUUG
rnacentral:rRNA from 1 species